rnacentral:rRNA from 1 species
AGUGAACGCUGGCGGCAGGCCUAACACAUGCAAGUCGAACGGCAGCACAGGAGAGCUUGCUCUCUGGGUGGCGAGUGGCGGACGGGUGAGGAAUAUAUCGGAAUCUACCCUUUCGUGGGGGAUAACGUAGGGAAACUUACGCUAAUACCGCAUACGAACUGAGGUUGAAAGCGGCGGACCGCAAGGCGUCGCGCGGAUGGAUGAGCCGAUGUCCGAUUAGCUAGUUGGCGGGGUAAAGGCCCACCAAGGCGACGAUCGGUAGCUGGUCUGAGAGGAUGAUCAGCCGAACUGGAACUGAGACACGGUCCAGACUCCUACGGGAGGCAGCAGUGGGGAAUAUUGGACAAUGGGCGCAAGCCUGAUCCAGCCAUGCCGCGUGUGUGAAGAAGGCCUUCGGGCUGUAAAGCACUUUUGUUGGGAAAGAAAAGCGGUCGGUUAAUACCCGGUCGUUCUGACGGUACCCAAAGAAUAAGCACCGGCUAACUUCGUGCCAGCCGCCGCCGUAACAC